GACGAACGCUGGCGGCGUGCUUAACACAUGCAAGUCGAACGGUAAGGCCCUUCGGGGUACACGAGUGGCGAACGGGUGAGUAACACGUGGGUGAUCUGCCCUGCACUUCGGGAUAAGCCUGGGAAACUGGGUCUAAUACCGGAUAGGACCCUGGGAUGCAUGUCCUGGGGUGGAAAGCUUUUGCGGUGUGGGAGGGGCCCGCGGCCUAUCAGCUUGUUGGUGGGGGGAUGGCCUACCAAGGCGCCGACGGGUAGCCGGCCUGAGAGGGUGAACGUCCACACUGGGACUGAGAUACGGCCCAGACUCCGACGGGAGGCAGCAGUGGGGAAUAUUGCACAAUGGGCGCAAGCCUGAUGCAGCGACGCCGCGUGAGGGAUGACGGCCUUCGGGCUGUAAACCUCUUUCAGCACCGACGAAGCGCAAGUGACGGUAGGUGCAGAAGAAGGACCGGCCAACUACGUGCCAGCAGCCGCAGUAA
rnacentral:rRNA from 1 species